rnacentral:lncRNA from 10 species
UCUGGCCAGGCGUGGGUGACUCAUCCCUGUGAUCUCAGCACUUCAGGAGGCCGAGGCAGGAGGAUCGCUUGAGCCCAGGAGUUCAAGACCAGUCUGGGCAACAUAGCAAGACUCUGUCUCUACAAAAAUUUUAAAAAUUAGCUGGGUGUGGCAGCAUGCAUCCGUGGUCUCAGCUACUAGGGAAACUGAGUCAGGAGGAUCACCUAAGCCCAGGAGGUCAAAGCUGCAGUGAGCCAUGAUCACACCACUGCACUCUAGCCUAGGCAACAGAGUGAAACCCAGUCUCAAAGUUAAAAACAAACUAAUCAGCCUGGAAUCAGGAAGUUUUACAUGGCCUCUUGACGGGUAAUGAUUGGCCUUCAGCCAGGUUCCAUAGACACAAAGUUGCCCAAGCGUCAUCAUUACAGCCCAUGAACAUUCACAUGGGGUCUUCCAAGUCUAAAACUGCAAGUCUUUGAUACUAAAUACCUGCUUCCUUCAUGUUUUCCUACUAUAAUAUUCACCAUAUGGCAAAAUUUCUCUAGGGUCAGUUUGAAAUUACUGCGGCCACAUUGGGGAACUUUUGAGAUGAACAAGAUUGUUCAUUUAAGAGGCAUCUUAGAACAAAGAGUGAAGAAAACCUUAUUAGGAGAUUAUUUGGUUUUGCCUAAAAGAAAAAUUAUUUUGGGGGGUAGGUGACCCCCCCUCCUUUGUUUCCACAUUUCAAGGAUUAAUGAGUGGUAGCUUUAAAAUUCUUUACAUGGAUAAAACUGUCAAAGGCCCAAGUUAUUGUCUAAACCAAUAACUUGGUUUAGACAAUACUGUACUCUGUACUCUGUCUCCCUCCCCACCCCCCAGUGUGCUUGUCAAAAUGGUCUUUCUAUGUUUAUAUAUUCUUCCCUGUCCUUCAAGAAAGAACAAAAUUAACCUUUUAUUAUGUUGAUGCAAAAGUAACUGUAGCUUUUGCCAUUAAAAGUAAUGGCAGUUCCUUUUGCACCAACCUAAUAAAUGAUAAUUUCAUAUUUGUCUGAAGCUGGCUUUUUGUUGUUGUUGUUCCUCUCCCUCUCUUUUACUCCCUUGGGAAACUUUAAAGAUUAACUGAUCAAAAAAAAAAAAAAAAUUCAGGGCCAGGCACAGUGGCUCACGCCUGUAAUCCCAG